rnacentral:lncRNA from 1 species
UUACAACUCCGUUUUUCCCCUCUGUAUUCCACCUCUCCUUUCAUCCCUUCCUCAACGAUGACAAUUUUCCCGUCCAACUGACGCCGGAGAAGGAUGACCAAAAGCCCCCAUUUUCCUCCUUUCAUAAAAGGUCUGCUUCUCGCCACCUGAAAUUGAUGAUCUUGUUGUCUUUCAUUUUGUAUUGAAUCCCGAUUCCCCCUUGAUUUCAGAAAGAUUAAUAUUUUCUUUUUAAUCAUCUCCCGAGAUCUACCCAUUUGAAAGAACCCUAGCACAACUCUCCUUCCUUUUUUGUUCUCCGCCUCCACACUCUCCCUCUGUUCUUUUCAAAUCAAUAGAAGCAACAAAACCGACAUACUUGGUUCAUAAAGUAUCUCUAGAUGAAAAUCCACCUGCUAUAAUUUAUCUCGCAAUAAGGUCAAUCUUCUUAGCCGUCCAAAAAGGUCAUUAUCAAGUUCAAUAAAAACCGCUAAUCGUCAUUUUCAUAUCCACUAUCGUCGUUUCCCACUCCAGAUCAGUGCUGUCAAUUUCAGAUCCACAUCCACAACCAUUUCAAACCCAAUUCAAUAUUGUCUUCCUAGUUCUAUAAUAGUUCAAUCCGAGGUGUUCAAUGAAUCUGUGUCUGGCUUUCAAUGGCUAUUUAGCGCAACACCUCCGGUAUUGAUACACGAGCUUGAUGGAUUCAUUGUUUGGUCAGUUACUGCCCAUCAUCGCCUAAAAACGUUCAUCAAAUUGACGUCGUUGCCGGGGACUUCUUUCUAGUAUAUGAAAGUAGUUCGAUUACUAUAAAUCUUCAUUUCCGCUUUAAAUUUUUGCAUUCACAUUUAAUUUUCACGGUGUUUAUUAUUUUUCUUUGUGCUGGAGAAAAUUCAUUGCAUGUCACCAGUAGUGACACGAUCCAAAUCAGGCCAAAGUUCUCACCAAGACUCGCGCUCAUCAACGGAAGAAGGAGAGAUUUUGACUCUCUCAAGGGUUUAUUCGAAAGUGACAAUGAAUCUAGACUCGAAGGCUCUUCAAACUCAGAUUAUUCAAACACUCCCACCGACCACAGUUACACGUCCAAACUUACAGAACCAAUGGCGGCAGCAAAAACUCUAGUCGAUUACACUAAGCCUAGUGUUGCGAACUCGAUAUCUAGUGUGAUUCCUCCUGAGUAGUAUGAUGCCAAUUAUGAGAUAAAGGGGAAUCUCAUCUUCUUAAGUCAACAUAAUUUGUAGUUUGAAGGGAAAACUAAUGAAAAUCCAUGUGCUCAUC